rnacentral:rRNA from 1 species
UACGUAGGGGGCAAGCGUUGUCCGGAUUUAUUGGGCGUAAAGAGCGUGUAGGCGGCCAGGUAGGUCGGUUGUGAAAACUAGAGGCUCAACCUCUAGACGUCGACCGAAACCAUCUGGCUAGAGUCCGGAAGAGGGGAGUGGAAUUCCUGGUGUAGCGGUGAAAUGCGCAGAUAUCAGGAAGAACACCCGUGGCGAAAGCGGCUCUCUGGGACGGUACUGACGCUGAGACGCGAAAGCGUGGGGAGCGAACAGG